UUUAAUUGUAAAAUAAGUAUGUGUGUGUAUGUGUAUACACACACACACACAUAUAUACUUAUUUUACAAUUAAC
rnacentral:miRNA from 1 species